UGAAGUGGAUAGAGAGAUCUUCGAGUGGAAAAUGUUCAGAAACCAGGAGACCUGAGGGUCAGAAAGGUGACUAAAGUUGAGAGCAAAUUUCCAAGCGUGUUGCCUGGGAUUGGAGUGGAGUGGAAUACUAAAGCAGGUGCCGGCAUCAUUGAGAAAGGUGAAAAUACUCUGGAACUGAAGACUCAAUUACAAUAUAUCUUAUCGUUUGUGACGAAGACCCCUAUGAUGUUGAGAAUACUGUGAGUGGAACAUGAUAGCAUCAUCCUGAAAGCUGCAAUCCCCGCUGUUCAUCUUCCUUAUGACUAUGCAAUCAUGUAUUUCAUGC